ensembl:miRNA mdo-mir-7257 mdo-mir-7257
ACAUGAACCAAAACUUCUAGUUUAGUUUUUAUAUAAAUUGAAAGUAUUGGUUCAUGCUG